rnacentral:rRNA from 1 species
GGGGGGGGGGGGGGGGGGGGGGGGGGGGUGGGGGGGGGGGGGGGGGAGGGUGAGGGGUGGGGGUUAGGGGUGGAGCGUGGUGGGGGGGGGCGGGAGAGGGGGGAGUCUACGUGUUCGUGGGGGAGAGCGUAGGGAAACUUAGGCUGAUACCGCAUACGGACUGGGGGUGAAAGAAGGGGAUCUUCGGCCGUUGCGCGAUGGAAUGAUGCUAUGUCGGAUUAGGUAGUUGGCGAGGUAAAGGCCCACGCAGGCGACGAUCCCUAGCUGGUCUGAAAGGAUGAUCAGCCACACUGGAACUGAGACACGGUCCAGACUACUACGGGAGGCAGCAGUGGGGAAUCUUGGACAAUGGGCGCAAGCCUGAUCCAGCCAUACCGCGUGGGUGAAGAAGGCCUUCGGGUUGUAAAGCCCUUUUGUUGGGAAAGAAAAGCAGCAGGUUAAUACCCCGCUGUUCUGACGGUACCCAAAGAAUAAGCACCGGCUAACUUCGUG